UACGAAGGGGGCGAGCGUUGUUCGGAAUUACUGGGCGUAAAGGGCGCGCAGGCGGCUCUGCAAGUCAGAUGUGAAAGCCCCGGGCUUAACCUGGGAAUGGCAUUUGGGACUGCAAGGCUUGAGUGCGGCAGAGGAGACUGGAAUUCCUGGUGUAGCAGUGAAAUGCGUAGAUAUCAGGAGGAACACCGAUGGCGAAGGCAGGUCUCUGGGCUGACACUGACGCUCAUGCACGAAAGCGUGGGGAGCAAACAGG
rnacentral:rRNA from 1 species